GAGAGGAGGAGCCGGGCCCCUUGUAGGAUGUGGGUGUUCCUGUUGGAAAGGGGUGGGGUUUGCCCCUGAAGAAUUGGGGUUGACUGAUGAGCCGGGAGCACCGGGGUUUAGGUGGAUACUAGACCAGUCUGACUCUGGAACAAGUGAGGAAACACAAAACUGAAGAAAAGAUAACUGAAGUAACCAAGCUACCCCCUUGAAAAUCUGUCUUAAACAAAGCCCUCAUGGAGCUAGUUGCAAGAGAGACAGCCUGACAUCAUGGCAAGAGUGCUGUCCCAGACAUCAAAAAGUAGGAGAGCUGUGAUUUGGAUUUAGAGGACCUGGAUUUGAAUCCUGACUCGUGACACUUACUAGCAAUGUGACCUUGGGUAAGUCACAGCCUCUUUGAAUCUCAUUUUCCUCACCUGUAAGGACAGUGACACAGUAUAAAGACAGCUAUAACUGUAUUAUUCAGGCCACAGGUAGUUGUGAGGAAAGCCUUUGCAAACUAUAAAG
rnacentral:lncRNA from 1 species